GACGAACCGUGCGAACGUUGUUCGGAAUCACUGGGCUUAAAGGGCGCGUAGGCGGCUCGCCAGUCAGGGGUGAAAGCCCACGGCUCAACCGUGGAAGUGCCUUUGAUACUGCGAGUCUCGAGCGAGGUAGGGGCGUGCGGAACUUCCGGUGGAGCGGUGAAAUGCGUAGAUAUCGGAAGGAACACCGGUGGCGAAAGCGGCGACGCUGGACCUCUUCUGACGCUGAGGCGCGAAAGCCAGGGGAGCCAAAGCGGGGAUUAAGCAAACCCCGAGUA
rnacentral:rRNA from 1 species